UACGGAGGGUGCAAGCGUUAUCCGGAUUCACUGGGUUUAAAGGGUGCGUAGGUGGGUUGGUAAGUCAGUGGUGAAAUCCCCGAGCUUAACUUGGGAACUGCCAUUGAUACUAUUAAUCUUGAAUACCGUGGAGGUUAGCGGAAUAUGUCAUGUAGCGGUGAAAUGCUUAGAUAUGACAUAGAACACCAAUUGCGAAGGCAGCUUACUACGGGGUCAUUGACACUGAGGCACGAAAGCGUGGGGAUCAAACAGG
rnacentral:rRNA from 1 species